UCACUUAAAACUAUUAUUCCUCUUCAAAUUAGAAAAAUCUUUUGCCUUUUACUAAAGAUUUCCAAGAAUGGUUUUCAAGUUUUUAAAUUAUUUUUUAAUGGUUGGCUUUGGUCAGAUU